rnacentral:lncRNA from 1 species
UGUUGGCUCUCAGUUCUCCUGGCCGCAUUUGUGGUGUCCCUCAGAGCUCCGCGUGACCCUGUUGCAGCCGAGGAGCCAGCAUGAUCUCCCUGGACAUCCUGCUACCAGGGCUGCCCACGGUUGAGCAGAGUGAGGCGUAAAUCCUCCAAAAUGCUCCAGCUGCAUCCCACCCACACCGCCUGGAACAAACAGAAGGGAAAUAUGUUGCGUGUAGUGUCCUGGAGUAUCGUUACUGCUCUGCGAUAACUCUCCUGUGGUGUUCAGCUCCCUUGGGUGAGGCCUCAGCACUCAGCAGUUCUUCCCCUCCUUGGUAUGCGUGCAAAGGGUGCUCUAAAGCUGCAGAACACAGGCAGAUUAAGAGGGAAUGCAUAUUGAUAUUCCACCUUUUUGGCCUUUUCCUGAUCCCAUCCUCGAAGGAUGUCUUAGCUGAGCUUUGUCGGCUGGGAAAAUGAGUCUCAGCCAGCUGAGGUGAGGGGGGCUCAUCUGAUCAGUGUUUGCCCAAGGGAGGGAGUGACCUGUAGUGGGGAAAGCUGUCUGCUCUUUUCUUUCAGGAUACAAUUUUCAGAGCUUGUUGGUGUAACCGAGUCUCUGAGGAGGUCUCAGCCAGAAGGUGAAUGACAGGACAACUUGCCUGAUGAGUGAGAAUGAAAGGAUGACAGUAGCGCCUUCCUUCUCUUUCCCCUCUUCCCAGUUGUUCUCUUUCACAGGAGCUGUGGCCAGUACAAGACUCUGCCCCAGAAUGCUCCAGGGUGGCACUGCAUCCCCAGUGGAUCUGCAAGCCAAAUCUGACUUAGGAUGCUCUGAAAACACGUACUGGGCCAGUGGAAGAGGAUGGCUUGCUCCAGUUCUACCUUGUGAUCACUCGUCCCAUUCUCUGACCACAUAUAGCCCCUCAGCUCCAGUCCAGUUCACAAAUCUAGCCAAAAGCACUUCAUCCUUUUACAAGGGAUGGCUCAGACCUGUGCUCUCCAGUGCCACCGUUUCUGUUUUAAUAAAUGUAAUGGUAAACAUUGAUCUACUACAGAAGAACACAGGUAAAUUAACAUUUUUUUUCUGCUUCUUCCACUCCCUGGACUUUAUACUCUCUUGAUUUAGUGCCAAAAAAGGAAUCUGAGACAACUGCUUUGACCCUGAUUAGAUUUAAACUGUGUGAAAUGAGCAGCUUUUCAUUUCACAGAAUCACAGAAUUGUACGGGUUGGGAGGGACGUGAAGAGAGCAUUGGGUCAAACCCCCCAGCCAAAGCAGGUUCCCUAGAACAGGUUGCCCAGGUAGGCAUCCAGGUG